AUGUGCAGACUCCGCUGGAAUUGGCUUAACUCCGUGUGCGCACACCUGUGGAUGAAGAGCCAGAGUCCCCCAAGGUCAAUGCUGCUGGCCAGUGGCCUGGUGUCUGCAUUAACAGAACAUCUGCAACGCCCUCAAAGCCCAUGGCCACUCUCUAGUCCAGAGGAGAAAAGGAUAAUAAAUAUCACACUAAACAACAUGGAAUACUUCUCAAGUCACCAGAAAGGUGAAACUGGACAGAAUACUUCUGUCCAUAAGGCCCUUAGAAGCCCCCUAAGUGAAAUAGCAGUGAGGACCCCCCCCCCAGCAGCUGCUGUCUCUUCAGUCAGUGUGGAAAGAAGAAACCUGGUGGCCUUGGCCUGGGAAUAUGGCGGUUCCAAGCACAAUGCUGUACUGAAAUGGUACCAGAAGACAGAAGGUUACGCGGCUAGACCAUGCCAUGAAGGAAGAUCCCUUGAUUACAGCCUCCCCAGCCCAUCAGCCACACUGCCAAGGACAUGGGAAAGAAUAAGAAGCCAGAGGGAGACAGCUGCCAGCAGGAGGUUUAGCAUAAAGAAGAUAGGAAUGGUAAUGAGAAAUUGA
rnacentral:lncRNA from 1 species